GUGCUUAACACAUGCAAGUCGAGCGGUAAGGCCCUUCGGGGUACACGAGCGGCGAACGGGUGAGUAACACGUGGGUGAUCUGCCCUGCACUUCGGGAUAAGCCUGGGAAACUGGGUCUAAUACCGGAUAUGACCAAGGACUGCAUGGUUUUUGGUGGAAAGGUUUACUGGUGCAGGAUGGGCCCGCGGCCUAUCAGCUUGUUGGUGGGGUAAUGGCCUACCAAGGCGACGACGGGUAGCCGACCUGAGAGGGUGACCGGCCACACUGGGACUGAGACACGGCCCAGACUCCUACGGGAGGCAGCAGUGGGGAAUAUUGCACAAUGGGCGAAAGCCUGAUGCAGCGACGCCGCGUGAGGGAUGACGGCCUUCGGGUUGUAAACCUCUUUCAGCAG
rnacentral:rRNA from 1 species